rnacentral:rRNA from 1 species
AGAUAGUGACAAUAAAUAACAAUAUAGGGCUCUUUUGGGUCUUAUAAUUGGAAUGAGUACAAUUUAAAUCCCUUAACGAGGAUCAAUUGGAGGGCAAGUCUGGUGCCAGCAGCCGCGGUAAUUCCAGCUCCAAUAGCGUAUAUUAAAGUUGUUGCCGUUAAAAAGCUCGUAGUCGAACUUCGGCUUCUGCCGCCCGGUCCGCCUUUUUGGGUGUGUACUGGAGCGGUGGAGGCUUACCUCGUGGUGAGCAAUCAUACCCUUCACUGGGCGUGGUUGGGAACCAUGAUUUUUACUUUGAAAAAAUUAGAGUGUUCAAAGCAGGCUUACGCCCGAAUACAUUAGCAUGGAAUAAUAAAAUAGGACGUGCGGUUCUAUUUUGUUGGUUUCUAGGAUCGCCGUAAUGAUUAAUAGGGAUAGUUGGGGGCAUUCGUAUUCAAUUGCUAGAGGUGAAAUUCUUGGAUUUAUUGAAGACGAACUACUGCGAAAGCAUUUGCCAAGGAUGUUUUCAUUGAUCAAGAACGAAGGUUAGGGGAUCGAAAACGAUCAGAUACCGUUGUAGUCUUAACAGUAAACGAUGCCGACUAGGGAUCGGACGAGGAUUUUUAAUGACUCGUUCGGCACCUGAAGAGAAAUCUUUAAGUCUAGGUUCGGGGGGGAGUAUGGUCGCAAGGCUGAAACUUAAAGGAAUUGACGGAAGGGCACCACCAGGUGUGGAGCCUGCGGCUUAAUUUGACUCAACACGGGGAAACUCACCAGGUCCAGACACGACAAGGAUUGACAGAUUGAUAGCUCUUUCUUGAUU